rnacentral:rRNA from 1 species
CCGGCGACCGGCGCACGGGUGAGUAACACGUAUGCAACCUGCCCGUGGCAGGGGGAUAAGCGGGGGAAACCCCGUCUAAUACCGCGUAACGCGGCCUAGGGACAUCCCAGGGCCGCCAAAGGGAGCAAUCCCGGCCACGGAUGGGCAUGCGGCGCAUUAGCUAGUCGGCGGGGUAACGGCCCACCGAGGCGACGAUGCGUAGGGGUUCUGAGAGGAAGGCCCCCCACACUGGUACUGAGACACGGACCAGACUCCUACGGAAGGCAGCAG